UGCUGGUGCCUUCAGUCGUGUCUGGUGGCGUUGGAAUCACAAGUACGUUCAACCCAAACGUGCUGGAAUUGCUCCAUUCCUGCAACUCACUGCUGCCGCUAUGACAUUCUUCUAUGCCAUCAACUACGGCAAGAUGAGACACCACAGAAGAUACAA
rnacentral:lncRNA from 1 species